CAUCAGGUGCUUAAUAUUGCAGAAUUUUGCGUUGAUUGCAAUAAAAAAAUACCAUCAGCCAACCUUAAUCAGAGCCAUUAUCUCUAUAAAUAUAGGUUAGAUUAGGUUAGGUUACCUAUUGGCCUCUGUAAAAUGUAUGAAGAACAUAUUCUAUGAGAUGCAAAUGCUCUCUCUUGCACUGCAGUGGUGUAUUUACGAUUUUGUCUUGUGGGUGAGGGGAUAAGUAUUUAUAUUUUAUCCUGAGCCCCCCCCCCCAAGUUGCCUUAAAGCAGUGAUAUCUUAAUAACAUAUUUAUAAAUACAAAAUACAUAACAUAAUUUCCAAGUAUAAUCCGUUAACCGAUAUAGGUAGGACUAUAGCUUAAUCUAUAUAAUAAUUGUUUUUGUUAAAACCAAAUUACAUAGUAUACGAGUAGGUAUAUUAUGUGGAAUUUGAACAUUAUUAUUACUUUAUUUUAUUAUUUAUAUACAUAGGUAGAUCAUAUAAUAGUUGUAUUAAUAUGUAUAAAACCAAAUCCAACUUUCUGUUUUUUAGACCUUACUCAUCGAUGACUUCACCUGGUAUAAUUUUGAUCUUCCGACCAGGGCAAUGUCCAACUACACUAUUCGUCUGUAGUGCAGUGAGACGACGUCUAUCUACGGCAUGAGCCUCAAGAGAAGAACCAAAUAGACGAAUGCGAACACCACGAAACAUAUCCUGUCGAUUACCUUGGCGAGUUUCUGCCUCUCAUUCAAAUCGGCAGCUUGCGCGAUCAUCUCUUCGGAUUCGCAGAGCAUGUGACAAUCAGUCGUCG